UCGGUGUCUCCGGCGCGGCGGCGGCGGCGGCGGCGGGGCUUUUCCUGUCCGGUUACGUUAAGGUCACAUGACCGAGAGAGCGGAGAGACUAGUGCAAAGAGGCUGCGAGCGGCUCCCGCCGGGGGGGAGAGGCGGCGAGAGAGCAGUGGCGGCAAGAGCCCCCUCCGCCCCCCCCCCAGCCGCUCCCCUCCCCCCGCCCGCCUCCGCCUCCUGCUGCUCUGCCGCCGCCGCCGCCGCCUGCAGCACUCCACUGCCGCUCCCACCCAGGCUCCGCGCUCUGCUCCAGCCAAACUUCUGCAGACCAUGUGCAGCCGAGGCGAGGAAACUUCUCUCCACCUAUUGGGGCUGGAGGCCUGAGUCACAAGCCCCUUGUUUACAUAAAGUGUUUAGGUAGCACAAGUCCUUGAGAUGCUCGGGGUAGAGAUGGAGAGCCACUGCUCGUAUCCUUCUGCCGGCUUCUGCUUGAGAUCUCUUGGCCUUUACCCUUGUCCCUUGACUUUUCGUGUUUGUUUUAAUCUUUAAGACUUGAAAUGGAGUGGCCUUUAGAACCGGGGAGAUACUGUAAACCAGCAGUAUCUUUGUGUCACCAAUGGUAACUGAAAGUCAUGCUGAAGUACAGAUUCCUGUAGCGUGCACAGAGGCAGAGGUGCUUCCUUUACCUUGCAGAUGAGUUGAGCGGCGUAAGAUGUUUCUGUUAGGGUUGAAUUUCAUGGUUAUUUCAGCAACGAUUUUCGUUUUUGAAGUUUUGGCCCCCCCAAAAAUGAAAGUCUGCAACGCAUGUUUGUUAAGAGAACAGUUUAUUCUCCUGUUAGGUUUUGGUCUUUGAGGUAUGGAUUCCAGAGUUGGCUAUUCUGUUAGAUUUAGAGGUGUGGAAAAUCUUUUAACGGGGAGAUCCUGAAACACGGAAACAUGGCAGGGAAGUUAGAAUUUCCUGAUGGUCAUUUUUAACAUUUUAAAGUUUACUUUUUGGUUGUUGCCAUUUUUCUAGAAUCCGUGUCUUUUUUGGGGAAAUACAGUCCUUUGAGGACUAGAAUUUAAUGAUUUCUUUACACAUCUAGGAUUUUUUGAGAUUUAGAAAGGAUAUGGCUUUAUUCCUAAGGAAGUGGAGGCAGCAGUUUCUAGGAUACUCUGGUUUCAAGGCAUGCUAACUUGGUUGUGAUGUCUAACCCAUUUUGGUUUACACAGUCUGACCACUAGCACAAUGCCUGGCACAUAGUUUACAAAUCAUUUAAGGCAAGCUUACCAUCUUAAGACAAUUUAAUACAUAGAAGUGUCCCUCCUAAAAAUCUGAGUUUGAUUUAGAAAUCCAGUUAUACCUGCAGGUACUGAUGACUAAUUCCUUCUUUGAAGACAAAAUAAGCAGCUGUGUAGCUUCAGUGGCUCUCAAAUGGAUAAUAGAUUCAGUGUAUACUCGCUUUGAACUUUCCUGUUUUUUGAUCAGCUAGAUAAAUGACUUUAGUGGGUAAAUGUCUGCCUCCAAAACCAAAUUCUGACCCUGAUCUAAGUAUUCUACUGCACCGCUGUCACUGGAAUAUCAAAGUUGGCCUUCAGACUGGUGCCUGGUUCCUUGGAUUGGCUUGAGUAUUGAGGUCUGUCUCAUCUUACUAGGGAACUAAAAUGAUGUUGAUUGUUUUGUAGAGAAUUGUAAUUAGAGAUCUGUAGGUUCUUAAUUCUUUUGGAAUUCCAUUCUGAAAAUUUUCAACCUUAUGGUGUUGGUGGAGUGCUCAUGUGAAGAGUGAAACUGACUUAAGAAUAAAAGAAAAAGUGGGCAAAACUAAUGCUAAACUUGAGACCAUUGGGCAGAAAUUUGCCUGUGUGUGUAGAGUAAUUGGUCUUGAGUCAAAGUAACUAUGCUUAUUUUUAACAUCACUGAAUAUUUUCUAGCGUUACACUCUAUAUAGGCUUGUAGAAAUAAACCCAGGGGUAAGCCCAGAAAUUGAAUAUCAGUCCUAAAGAAAGCCUAUCAAGAGCAUCCUAUUCUCUUUAAGAGCUGCUAUUCGAAUUUAGGACUGGGCUGGUUUGCUGCUCAUUCUCUCGAGGCAUAGGCAGCCACACUUGAAUUUUGCCAAGUAUGCAGAUAAUUCCAACUUGUAGUCAGGAUCAUCAGGUAAUAGCAUUAUAAGGGGAGCUGUACAGACUGUAUACUUUCUACAGUUUGUUGAAAUAGAAACAUUUAUAUGGAUACAUACAUCUGCAAAGGUUAGGGAGAAAACGGUAGCCCUGGCAGAGAAGAGCUAGUUAGUGUAUUUCAGGAUAGGGCCAAGGGAAGCUGUCAUUUCUCUACUAAGUCUCAUUGUGGAAAAGCCACAAAUGUCCCUAGUACAGUAAUAAGGAAAAAAAGGCUGAGCGUGGUGGCUCACACCUGUAGUCCCAGGACUUUCGGAAGGAUUGCUUGAGCCCAGGAGUUGCAGAUCGGCCAGGACAAUGUAAGAAAACCCCAUGUAUUAGAAAAAAAGAAUUAGCCAGGCGUGAUGGUGUGGGUCUAUAGUCUCAGCUUGGGAGGCUGAGGUGGCAGGAUCGCAUAUAGCCCAGGAGUUCGAGGCUGCAGUGAGCCAUGAUCGCAUCACUGCACCCUAGUCUGGGCAACAGAGUCUCUAAAAAGGAAAAAAAAAAAAAAAGUUAAAUCGCUGUUUAAUUAUGUGCCAAUUUAUUUUGGUAUUUUGAGAAUCUGGUAAAUUAGGAAUUCAAAAAUAGUUUUAACACUUUUUACUUCAAAGAAAAUCACAGUGCAAGCAAUCUGAGUGGAUUCAUCAAAAGUUAUACAUGAAUAUUCUGCAGAGUCUGGUGUUGCUGAAAGUUUUGAUUUGUGUUCUGCUGAGACACAACCAUGAAAAUAUGCACUUGCUUGUAUUCCGAAGAGGAUAGUUCCAGUGAGACUUGGACAAUGAGCAGAAAAAAUUUUUUUUUGAGACGAGGUGUCGCUGUGUCGCCCAGGCUGGAGUGCAGCGGCGCGAUAUCUGCUCACUGCAACCUCUGCCUCCUGGGUUCAAGCGAUUCUCAUGCCUCAGCCUCCCAAGUAGCUGGGACUACAGGUGCCCGCCACCACACCCGGCUAAUUUUUUGUAUUUUUUUUUUUUUAGUAGAGACGGGGUUUCGCAGUGUUAGCCAGGAUGGUCUCGAUCUCCUGACCUCGUGAUCCACCCGCCUCGGCCUUCCAAAGUGCUGGGAUUACAGGUGUGAGCCAUUGUGCCCAGCUCAGAAAAUUUAAUAGUACUAGAUCUCGUGUGUGUGUGUGUGUGUGUGUGCGCGCGCUUAGGUUGAAGGUGGAAUUUAACAUUGAUUUAAAAAAAAUAAUAGUAGGAAAAAAUAAAUGCGGUUUGAGUCCAAAGCAGCAUUUUUCACUAAUUUUAUGAAGGAAGUCCUUUUGAGUAAUGUCUUAAAUUAGGAAAAUGGCGUACUUUUACAUGUUAGACAUUAAACUCUAGGGCAGAUAACCAUGCCCUGUGUGUUGUGUAUCAAGCUUAGCAUAUACAUAGGAAAAGAUGUAUUGUGAGAGUGUCUUACAUUUCGUUGGUUUGGUCAUAAAGUUUAUAGAAAAUGCUUGUUUUAUAGUUGGUUGUUAUUGAGAUGAGAGUCCCUCAAGGAACUCCCUAUGCUUUAGGGAGCUUUUUGUUUUAAACCUACUGGUUAGACUUGUGGGUUUUAAUGUUUUCAGCUGUGGUUGUAAGAAACACAUUUUAAAUUGCACCUAGUAUAGACAUACAUGUAAAACAAACAAAAUUUUUACGAAGUAGUACUUGUAUUAAGAGUGAUGUACUCUGCUAUCUUCUAUUUCAUUUUUUUAAAGUUGAUAUUGCUGCCUUAAAUUGAUUUUUUCAACCACUAAUGAGUCAGGACCCACUAUUUAAAAAAUACUGGUGUGUUCUCUUGCUGUUACGAAUUAACCCAAAACUUAGUGGUUUAAAGCAAUAAACUUGUGUUUAUCUCAUGUAGGUUCUGUGGGUCAGGAAUCUGGGAGUAGCUUACUUAGGUGGUUCUGGGUCAGGGUUUUUCAUGAGGUUCCAAGGUGGCUCUCAUUUGGCAAGUCAGCUAUGGCUGAUGGUGGAAGUUCUUCAUUGGACUGCUUGAGUGUCCUCAAGCAGUGGCGAAGGCUAGCUACCCGCAGAGUAGGUGAUUCAAGCAAGAGCAGAGAGGAGGCCACACACCAUCACUUCUGCCAUAUUCUAUUAAAAAGAAGUCACUUAAGUCCAGCCCAAACUCAGGGGAUGAGUAUCAAAGAAUUAUGGACAUAGUUUAAUAGCUGCCACAUUUAUAUGUUUUUCCACUUUAUAUUUUAUUUAUUUAUUUAUUUAGAGAUGGAGUCUUGCUCUGUCGCCCAGGCUGGAGUGCAGUGGCGUCAUCUCAGCUCACUGCAGCCUCUGCCUCCCGGGUUCAAGUGAUUGUCCUGCCUCAGCCUCCCUAGUAGCUGGAAUUAUAGGUGCCCCCUACCACGUCCGGCUAAUUUUGUAUUUUUAGUAGAGAUGGGGUUUCACUAUAUUGGCCAGGCUGGUCUCGAACUCUUGAACUCAGGUGAUCCACCUGCCUCAGCCUCCCAAAGUGCUGGGAUUUCAGGCAUGAGCCACCACCCUGGCCUGUUUUUCCAUUUUAAAGAUGAGUUAGGAUUGCACCAAAAGCCAUGCUGAAAUCAACCUAUAAGUAAUUAUCUUAGUUAAUUAAGUCAGUUUUUUUCUCUGAGGGCAUCUAGUCACACUUCCUUCUCAGUCUUCAAUUUGAAAAAGCAGGCUCAAAGAAUUUAAGUAAUUAAGCAGCCCAAGGUCAUUCAGUCUAGGAAAACCUCACAAAUUUUCUCUGACCUUUGUCAUGAAUAACAUGUGAGCUGAUAAAGAUGAGAAAAUUAAGAAGUUACACUGUAGAACUGUUCGCCAGUCUUCUAGUUUGCAGACCUCCAUAUUAUAAUACACUUUAAAAUUCAGAUAAUGCUUGGUGUCUAGAUUCCUCAUACUAGCACCCCUCCUGUUCAUUUUUAGAGGAAACAGGAAAUGUACUUAUUAAAUGAAUUCAAACUACUUUGAAUAGACCAUUCCAGAUGCUGCCUGUAUACUCACUAUGAGAUGUACUGUGCAAACUAAUUCCAAUUAGCACAUUUUGAGAACCCAAAAGGAUGUUGUGACUUAAAGAUGAUGAGAAUUUAAGUGUAAAGAAGACUACACUUCUUUAUGCUGUGAAAUUUUCAUAGAAAUUUUGGAUCUGGAAGGAUUUUGUUCUAAGACUAGUUUUAGCUUAGUGAUAAAAGGAAUAGGAUGACAUUGGUAGUGAGCGAAGGCAGGAUAAAUUUCUAAAGACUUCCUUAAAAAUUUUUUUAAUCCAUUAGGCUUUUCUAAAUUAUAGGUUGGGAUACAAUAAGUUAUCUUACACCUUUGCUUCACGGAAUGGGCUAAUGGCUACUUUUUUUUUUUUUUUUUUUUUUUUUUUUGAGAUGGAGUCUUACUCCCAUCUCACAGGCUGGAGUGUAGUGGCACAAUCUUGGCUUACUGCAACCUCCACCUCCCGGGUUCAAGUGAUUCUCCUUCCUCAGCCUCCUGAGUAGCUGGGAUUAUAGGCGUGCACCACCACACCCGGCUAAUUUUUGUAUUUUUAGUAGAGAUGGGGUUUCACCAUGUUGGCCAGGCUGGUCUCGAACUCCUGACCUCAGGUGUGCCACCUGCCUUGGCCUCCCAAAGUGCUAGGAUUACAGGCAUGAGCCACUGCGCCUGGCCGGAUAAUGGCUACUUAAAUCAUUUUUCAGUUUUCCCUUACCACUAUGAUUCCUGACUGUUUCUAUUCUGACCUAAAGUACUGUUUGUACACAAUUAAUUUUGAUUACCCUUUUUGCUUGUUACUUGUCUCCCUAUAUCUUGUAUCUCUCACUCUCACUGUAAGCUCCCUGAGGGCAGGUACUUCUUUUUAUGUACACUCCUGGUACUCAAUUGCUUGCAGAAUUGAGUUGAAUUUGUAGUUAAAGGAUCUAAGAUGAUCAUUUUCCCACUCGAACUGAGUGAAAAAGGUGUUUAUUGUUGCAGAAAACAUCUGCGUAUAGGUAUUGGAUGCUAGUGGUGCAUAUAUGAAUACCUAUCUCUGCUCUUCAGGUGGUCACAGUCCACUGGGGGAGAAAAACACAGAUACUUAGUACAAUUUAUUCUAUACUGCAGAUGUGCAGAGUGCUGUGGGUAUGUAGAUAACUUUAAGCUGAAUCUUGGUCGGUGAGCAGGUGUUCAGAAGAUAGACUUAGUGGCCAAGUGCGGUGGCUCACGCCUGUAACCCCAGCACUUUGGGAGGCCGAGGCGGGUGGAUCACUUGAGGUAAGGAGAUCGAGACCAUCCUGGCCAACAUGGUGAAACCCCGUCUCUACUAAAAAUACAAAAAUUAGCUGGGCGUGGUGGUGCAUGCCUGUAAUCCCAGCUACUCGGGAGGCUGAGGCAGGAGAAGCGUUUGAACCAGGGAGUUGGAGGGUUGCAGUGAGCCGAGAUGUUGCCACUGCACUCUAGCCUGGUGACAGAGCGAGGCUCUGUAUCAAAAAAAAAAAAAAAAAAAAAGAUAGACUUAGUUUUGUGAUGUGCUUUGGGGGUGGUGCAUUUCUUAGCUUCAUUCCUUUACUAUACAUCUCCCUUGAAUUAUUUUCCUUUUAUCGUUGGUGAGUUACCAUCAUAAUUUAAUAAAUUGUUUCCUUCUGUGACAUGUACAUUCUUGUCACAUCAUUUCUCUAGAACUGUGCUGUCCAGUUCAACUCAGUGUCACACUAGCCAUGUGUGCUGAGUAGCCACCUGUGGCUAGAGGCUACCAUAUUUGGGCAGCACAGAUAAUAUAAAACAUUUCUAUUAUUGGAGAAAGUUCAGUUGGACAUCACUGCUCUAGAAUCAUGUUUUGCUUCUCCCUAUUUUCACGUUAUCAAUAGUGUAUUGAGUUCAGAAUAGAAUUAGGAAACAAUAGCCUCCUGAUAUUGUCAUUGGGAGGGAUAGAGUGGUUGAUAUUUAUGAACAGAGGGGGGAGAGUGUAGUGUUUGGUAGUGGUUGAGAAUAUAGCCUUUGGAAUCAGAUCUGGGUUGGAAUUAUGGUCCGUCCCUUACACACUGUAUGGCUUCGGGCAUGUUACUGAACCUCUGAGCCUCAAGUUUUCCUUCUCAAAUAGGGUUAAUAGUAAUUAUCUCAUAACAUUGGGUGAACAUAAAAACAGGAGGGGGGCCGUAGCACAGUACCUCAGUAAAUGAUAAAAUCGGUAUAUUUUUGAAAUCAUCACUGAUUUAAAAAAAAACCUUAGAAUUAUGUAGUAAAAGUGACUUUUUUUUUUCAGUAUACCGUUCUGUGAUUUUUAACAUAGUAUUUAUUUGUUGUAAUCACCAACACGAGAAUAUAGGCCAGGUCUAUCACUUUAUUUUGCUGUCUUUAUAGACCUGUGCUGUUUCCACCCCUAACCCCUGGCUGUCACCGAUCUGUUGUCCAUCACUAUAGUUUUACCUUUUCUAGGAUGUUACAUAAAUGGAAUUACACAGUAUGUCGCCUUUGCACACUGGCUUCCUUUACCCAGCCAGAUUGGGUUGAGAGCGAUUUGUCCAAGUUGUUACAUCUAUCAGUCGUUGAAAACUGAUCUUUAAAGACAUUUUAAUUUUGAAUCAUUAUUUCCUAAACGUGAAUCUGAAUUCCUUAACAGUUCUUCAAGUAGUGUUUGGCUCAGGAUUUUUGUGUUUAAAAGUAAAAUAAAUGGUAAAAUAUAUAGGGAAAAAUUACUGCUUCCACCUGAUUGGUAAAAACCAUGUGUGACAUUAACAUGCUUUUCUUUAGGGAAGGUUCUUGUUUUUAGUAGUUGAUCCAUAUUAAAGCUCUGUAGAGUUGCCACAAAGUCCAGAGUUGAAAAAGGUGGCUGUUAAAAUAUCAGUUUCUAAAAUGUGGCCGAAGAUAGCGUGACCAGUCCUGGUUUGCCCAGGACUUUGCCAGUAUUAGCAGUGAAAGUCUGGCCGCUCUCAGGAAACCCCUUGGUCCCAGUCAAACCCAGAAUGGGACCAAGCGCCGUGGCUCAUUCCUGUAAUCCCAGCACUUUGGAAGGCUGAAGUGGGCAGAUCACGAGGUCAGGAGUUUGAGAACAGCCUGGCCAAAAUGGUGAAACCCCGUCUCUAAUAAUAGCCUGACAUGGUGAUGCACGCCUGUAAUCCCAGCUGCUUGGGAGGCUGAGGCAGGAGAAUCGCUUGAACCCAGGAGGUAGAGCUUGCAGUGAGCCAAGAUUGUGCCAAUGCACUGCAGCCUGGGUGACAGACUGAGACUGUGUCUGAAAAACAAACAAACAAACAAAACCCCAGAAUGGUUGGUCACCCUAUCUGAAAAGAGACACACAAAAUCAGAGGAUUCCAGUUCAUCAGGUUUCAGUAGUGAACCAUCGGCCAAGUAUUUCAUCUAAUCUUAAUUGCCUUUGGGUGCUUAGAGUCAAAUCUCUAAGGUAACCAGAACCCAAACCACAUGAGGUUUUUUAGAUUAAGAUCAGCACCUUGAAUUUAAGGUUUUGUGGCUAGAGGUUUAGAUUUGAUUGGAAUUACAUCGUUAAUUUUUGUUAAAUUGUUGAAUAAGCAACUUCCCAAGCCUUGUGUGUAGAAGCUAGAUUAAAAGUCAAGUUUCUACUUAACCAGAAUCUCUGUUUUGAGUUUUUAAAUUCAACUGGUGAUGUCUAAAUCUUAAGGAUAUUGUAAGUUCCUUAACUAGUCUGUUCCAUUUUCCUGAGUUUUCACAUCACCUCUCUACCUCUUGUGUAGAUUUUAUUUUUUAUUUUGAAACGGAUUUUCGCUCUUGUUGCCCAGGCUGGAGUGCAGUGGCACCAUCUCGGCUCCGCAACCUCUGCCUCCUGGGUUCAAGCGAUUCUCCUCCCUCAGCCUCCUGAGUAGCUGGGUUUACAGGCACAUGCCAGCGCACCUGGCUAAUUUAGUAUUUUUAGUAGAGACGGGGUUUCUCCAUGUUGGUCAGGCUGGUCUCAAUUUCCGGACCUCAGGUGAUUUACCCGCCUCUGCCUCCCAAAGUGCUGGAAUUACAGGCAUAAGCCACCACGCCCAGCCCUAGAUUUCUUUAUAGAGCAUCUGUCUAUAAGCAGAUUACUUAGUUUUCCUGAUGUCUUCGUUGGAAUGUAAGCUUUGUGAAAGCCAGGGGCCCUAUGUGUCAUCUUUACCACUAUGUCUUAGAUCUUAGAGCAGCCCAUCAUAAGUUCUAAUAAGUAAUUGUGGAAUUGGAUGAGAAAAUGAAUAUGAGUCAGUUUUACAAUGCUGCAUGCUUCCCAGAUUAUUUUAACAGUCUAGGGGAUGUGGAAAGAUUUUGUUUUAAAAACGUUUAAAAGUCCACGUUUUGUUUGAUAUUGUUCAGAGGAAGUGAAAAUGUGGUCUUUAAAAAAUUUUGUUGCCCGGGUGUGGUGACUCACGCCUGUAAUCCCAGCACUUUGGGAGGCUGAGGCGGGUGGAUCACCUGAGGUCAGGAGUUCAAGACCAGCCUGGCCAACAUAGUGAAACCCCGCCUCUACUAAAAAUAUCAAAAAUUAGCUGGGCAUGGGGGUGGGCACCUGUAAUCCCAGCUGCUCGGGAGGCUGAGGCAGGAGAAUCGCUUGAACCCGGGAGGCGGAGGUUGCAGUGAGCGGAGAUCGCGCCAUUGCACUCCAGCCUGGGCCACAGAGCAAAACUCUGUCUUAAAAAAAAAAAAAAAAGGCUGGGCGCGGUGGCUCACGCCUGUAAUCCUAGCACUUUGGGAGGCCGAGGUGGGCAGAUCACGAGGUCAGGAGAUCGAGACCAUCCUGGCUAACACGGUGAAACCCCGUCUCUACUAAAAAUACAAAAAAUUAGCUGGGUGUGGUGGCAGGCACCUGUAAUCCCAGCUACUCGGGAGGCUGAGGCAGGAGAAUGGCGUGAACCUGGGAGGCAGGCGGAGCUUGCAGUGAGCCGAGAUCGUGCCACUGCACUCCAGCCUGGGUGAAAGUGUGAGACUCUCAAAAAAAAAAAUUGUUUCAUUAACCCUCUAUGAGGGAAGGGAAUUUAGAAUGGUGACAUUAAACCUUCCUUUAAAAUGGCAAUUCAGAACCAGUGGAGAGAGCUGAAAGUGAGAGUAGAUUUGGAUUUGGAAAAAUUCCCUCUACUUCUCAUACACAUCACCUUCUCCCAACACAGGCACUUUGUAAAGGCAUAGAGCAGGGUCUGAGGAGAUUGGGUUGGUGAAAGAGAGAACUGAGUCACUUGAGAUUAGUACUUGGUAAGCAAGAGAGUGCUAAUGAAUUAUUUAAAAUCUGUGUAACCUGAGUGUAAACCAAUACAUAGACUAAGUUAGUGCUUCUCAGAGCUUAGGGAGCAUAGGAGUCUCCUGGAGAAUUAGAAGAAACAGAUUUUCCUAGCUCCGGCCCCAGACGUUCUGAUUUAGUGUGGUGUAGAACUCAGGAGUUAGUAAUAUUAAUGGACAGUCUUGAGUAUUUGCUGAUGCAACUGGUCUGAGGACCAUACUUUGGAAGACCUGCUUUAGAUAGUAGACAGGACAGUAAUUUAAAAUAGGCAAAUAUGGUUUAUUUUUAAAAUGGUAAAACUAGAAAGAUACUGAUUUUAUGUGUUUAAAAAAAAAAGUCUGCAUCUGACUGCUAUGGUUAUCCAAGAAGGCACCCCAGAAUACCUGUUGGCCACCGCUGUUUGGUAUAUGCAAAAAUGUGUAGUUUUUAAAAGAGUCUUUUUGGGCUUGCACUGAGGAGCCACCCUAUUUUAUACAGUCAAAAUAUUGCUAUAUUUAAGUUAACCAUUCUGUUCCAGUGCAGGAUUCAGUAACAUCUAUUCUGUAAGUUUCAGUUGUGAUAUUUCUUAAAGAUUCAAAGAUGGAUCCUGGGAAUUUGAUUUAGCCUCCAUUUCAUCUGGGAGUUAAUCCUCACAGCAACCCUGUGAGAUAGGUUAAUAAUUAAACCCUCCUAUUCACACAUAUUUCAUUAAUCCUUACAGCAACCUGAGAGAUAGUUUAAUAAUUAAACCUACUCCACAGAUGAGGAAACUGAGGCCCAAGAGGUUCAGUGAUUCGCCCAAGGUUAUAACAGCAAGAAUUGGUGGUGAAACAAGAAUUCAAAUCCAGAUUGGUCUUAAUAGUGAGCUCUCAUGUGUGAUAGAAAUUAGAUACCACUUUGAGGACUUUGGGAGCCAGUGGUGAAUGUACUUACUUUAGGCUCUAAAUACUCUGUGUAAUUUCUUGGUCAUUUUGUUCUUAGAGAGGUGGUGAUCUUAAUAAAGUUUUGACUUUAUUAAGUAAUUAAAAGUUUUUACUUAUGUUACAACUAAAACAAUUCUUUAAAACUUUCAUAACUUGAAGUUUUAAAUCCUAAAAUUAGUUGAAAAAGAUGUAAUUGCCAGUGUAUCGUAAAUACUGGUAUUUUAAAAUAAAGCUGCUUUAUCACUUUUAAGGAAAGCCCUUGUAAUUUAGUGCAUUGUAAUAGUGUAUUGAGCUGAUGUCCACCAUGAUCCAUGUAAACAUAGGUGAACUAUGCAAAUACAAGUUUUUCUUCUUGAAAAUGUUACAUUUCCUCUACAACACUUUAUGCUAAUAAAUGUUUAUGAACCUCUUUUGAUGAUCCUUUCAUUUCUUGUAAAUUUUUGUAUAUAACUUGAAAUGUUUAAUUUGCUGUAAUCAUAAGGCAUCAAAUGUUCAUGGUUUUUUUCUGGACUAUUUUCACAUUGUUAGUACUGAUUAGUUGACCAAAACAGCAAAUUGCAUACAUUGAUACUUGCAGUAAAAUUUCACUGGAAUUGUACCUCCUAAAAAAAAUGGGAGAAAACAUAAUGGCUUCAAUUAAAGGAGGCUGCAUUUACCAAUCUUCCAAAUUGUCCUUUUUUGUUUUUGUGGCUUCCCAAAAGUGUUGACAAAUAGGUUUAAUGUAUUUAAAGGUUAUUGAAUGUAGUGGACCAAACUAUUGAGGAUAGGUGAGAGACGCCGCUUCUGUAAGUGUGAUAAGGGAAGAUGGGAAGAGCAGGAUACACUGCAGGUGUGCACACAGGUAUGUUGAUUUUAUGAAAAUUGGAACUUGAUCUAGGAAGCAAUUUUUAAAGUUAUUUUGAGACAGGGUUGCUGGCCUCAAGCAGUGCUCCCACCCUGACCUCCCAAAGUGCUGGGAUUACAGGCGUGAGCCACCAUGCACAUCCUAAAAAGCAAUUCUUGGACUAUCUGUGCCUAUAUGCUCCUUGGAGAGUUUUUGUGGGUACCCUUGGCAUACAGGUAGGUACCUCAAAUGGAAGACAGCUACUGAAGAACUCUCGCUGGAAGACAUCAGAUGUUUAUCCUAGCACUGUUAACUGCAGAUAAAUAUGUCCAUCAGUUAGUACAGAUGAAUGUAUUCUCUUGGUAUAAUACUGUGUAGCAGUUAAGUGAGUUGCAAAACGAAAGGAUAUGUGUGAAAAAAAAGUUGACAGGUGAGGACUAUAGUGGGGCAUCGGGUUAUGCAUAAAAGUAAGGCAAUGAAGGUAAAGAUUUGAUUUUUAAAUGUUGUCAACCCAAGGAGGUAAAUAUGUAGAUGUUAAAUUCUUUGUGCUUGGUAUUUUUUAAAUUUCCCCAAAAUAUCUCUGGAACAAACAUCUGUGGGAAGAAUAUUGUGACUAACUUGGUGAAAGGACAAAGUAUUAAUAAAAGGUGCCGGUGAACAGCCAUACUCAAAUCAUGCCAUCGAAAAUAGGUAUUUAAGAUUUCAUUUCUGCCACCAGAAGCCUGUCUUGUUAUUGUAUAUAUUGAUUUCUCUCUUUUUUUUUUUUUUUUUUUUUUUUGAGACGGGAGUCUUUCUCUGAUGCCCAGGCUGGAGUGCAGUGGCAUGUAGAGACGGGAUUUCACCGUGUAAUGUUAGCCAGGAUGGUCUCGAUCUCCUGACCUUGUGAUCCACUCGCCUCGGCCUCCCAAAGUGGGAUUACAGGCGUGAGCCACCGCGCCCGGCCUGUAUAUAUUGAUUUAAACACUUCAGUUCCUGUAUGAUUCUCUUAGCCAGGGCCAUGAUGGGAUUCCCUGGGGAUAGGUUAAGUUGUGGUGUCUAAAACCUAAGUCCUGUGACUUUAAGAAGUAUCUGCCAAGAUUUGCCAAGAUUUCCUAGAUGCUAGUUUUCCAAAGUUCUUAACUGAAAUAUUUACCUUUUGAAUUGUCAGUGAUGUAGAUACAAACACUAGAUUCUUCAUAAUUUUAUUCACACGAUAUACUGGGCUGAAAAAGAUAAUUUCUUGAUUAAAAAAACACCUAUUAAAUGAUCACCCAGUAG
rnacentral:lncRNA from 1 species